rnacentral:lncRNA from 1 species
UCUUAAAUACUCAAUCUGUUAAAAAAUAAACAAAAUUUCUCAAAACAAUUUCGAACAACAAAUAAAUUACUUAAAUAAAAAAUUAAUUAAUCAAUAUGCAAUUUUUUUCAUUCAUAAGCUCAGACUUUUUCAGUUCCUAUUGUUAUAGGCCAAUUUCGGCCUGUUUACAAUCAAACCCGAGUGGCCCAAUAACCCAAUUACCAGCUCAAAUUAAACUAAACAUAACCCAAGCUAAAUUGAACCCAAUACCCACCAAAAAUAACAGCCCAAACAACAAUAGCCCAAAUCUAAACCCUAGCCCAACUAGCCCAAAAGAAAAAAAAACACACAAAGCAAUUCUGAAACCCUAGCCGCAAGCCUCAACCACCCCCUUCUGCCCUAACCACCCUCUGCCACCACCACUGUGGCCACCAUCCCUCUGCACCUGCAAAAUUAGAGAAAGAAAAGACAGCAAAUAUUGAAGAAAAUUUUGAUGUAAAAUGGCUAUUAAAAGCCAAGCAAAAUAUGGUAAAAGGGGGAGGACUAUUUUUUGCAUCAAAAAAAAAAAGGAGAUUUUUACUCAACAAACGGAAUAAAGGCAUAGAUUAACACCAAAAAUAGUAAGAACAAAAGGAAUCAAAAGCACCAAGCCAAAUCAGAGGUGAUUUCUUAUUUAGUUUUUCUUAUUUCGUUUCGGAUCUUGGUUACAUUAUUUAUCUUUUGUUUCAUAUAUACAUAUAUAUAUAAAAUAAACAAAGAAAAAAUAAAUAUAAAUAAAAAAAAUACGUACUUAUCGGAAUUCUGCCACCGCACGCGGUGACCGGCGACGGCGAAGACAGCGGUGGAUCACCGGAGUUGCCUCGCCGGAAUCUGGACCUGCAGAGAAAACAAAGAGAGAGUUUAAUUUUUUUUAGAAACUGGUAACAAAU